CAAGGCAGGCAUCUGGUAUUCUCUGUUGAGCUGUCUCUUCAUGCUCUUACCUAGCUUGCUGAGGCUGAGUUCCUGUCUUCUCCUCCCCACUGUAGGCACCUUUAUACCAUGGGAUAAAUGAUGGUUACCUCUGUUGGAAAUGGUUGACCAAGCUGUUCUAAAAGACACACUGUUUUUAUUCGUGGGGUGACCUCUUCCCUCCCUGUCACAGAGUUAAGGGGCAGCCUGUCUCAGACCAUGGAGGACACUUUGAGACAAACAGGCCUGGGUCCAAAGUGGAGAUGGGGACCUCAGCUCAGUUUCCAAAGCCAGCUUCUCUGUGAGUCCAGACCACAUGGUGUGACCUGCCAAUCAAAUGCACACUGCACCAACUCUGGUGGACACCCUGUCACCUUUGCCUUGUCUACUCUAUGGUGUUUAGUCACUGAGUCUUCUAGUUCCCAUUUCCAAGAUUCUCAUGACCCCCAAGAUCAACACCAUCAGGCUAGACCUCUCUUCUGACCUUCUGAUGCUAUCACCGGUGCACAGUUUGGGCAUCUGAUAAAGAUUUCUGCUGGUUUUUCAGCUUGAGGUGUGGAAGCCCUGAGAGCUUACAUGGAAAGGCAAGGAAAACGGACAAACAGAUGUGUGCACACCUGUACUGCCAGCUCUCCACAGAGGCUCACACCUUACUGCAGCUCUUGGGAAGUUCAGGCAAGAUGAUUAUCAUGAGUUCGAGGUUAGCUUGAGCUGCAUGGUGAUUUCCAUAUCUGCCUAUACAUACCAAUAUGCUGUUGAAAACAAAAGAAGGGGCAGGAUAGUGAGGCCCUCAGCAUCAUAUUCAUGUUAUAAAUUGAGCAUUAGCACUGGUAAGAAAUCCAAUAAAAUGAAAACCAAUGAAAAAACCAAGACAAUAAAAAGUUAGAGCUGACCAUUUCCUUAGGCUUCAGUUUAGAUUUUGAGUUGUGUUUCAUUUGCAGAUUUGCAUAUUUAUCUCCUCUGUAUUUGGUCUGUAAAUUCAUUUUGACUUCUAUUUAUAUAAAAGCCUCAUCUUAAGGAAUUUAUAUCUAUUUGCUUUUGCUCAUAUUUAAGUAACACCAAUCAUAUAAAUAUUGGUUCCCUGGAGAUAUUUUCUUAUGUAAGGUUUUAUCGUGGAUAAAUCCUUACCCAUACCUUCCUGGGUCUCCCACUGCCCUAUGGAGCUGACACUGUUGUCCAAUUUGCCGACUCAAUAUUAAUUACUCUUGAAGGAAAAGGGCUGGGGUAGAGACUGCCCAUAGGAAUAGACAUGAAAAGUGAUGAUGUCAGGCAAAUCAGAGUCUAGUUCAAAACCGAGGUCUGCUUCAUGGAGACAUGCUCCUUUUUUGGAAAGGAGACUUACUUUAUACCAUCAGCAGAAACUGCUAUUGUUGUGUUAUCUGUCUCAUUUUAGGACAUAACAAUUUUUAAAGCAAUUCCUUCCAGAAAUCUAUUGCAGCAAGUCUGUUAUGACAGGCAGCACCCAAGUCAUGCUUAGGGUAAUGGUCAGAUAAAGUUUUCAUCUUCAGUCACCAGAAUCAGUGCAGAUGGAUCUUGGGAAAGCUCAGGAUAGGAAGAGCAGAGAAGACAUGAAGGCCAAGGAAGAUAGAGGUGUGAAUUCAGACCAGAGCCCGAGGAGGAUUUCCACUCGGGAAGAGAAGUGGAAGGAGUAAGAGGAGGAAGAGAUGGAAGAAGUUUAGGAAGGAAAGAGGAGGCGGAAGAGGAGGAGGAGAUGGAAGAUGAAGAGGAAGAUGGACUGAUUAUGUUUACAGUCUUGGCAACUUGAUAGCCUAGAAGUCUCACUAUGGAAACGGGACACCUUGAGCAGCAGGCUUUGCUGGACUAUAAUACUGACUCAGUGAGGGCAUGCCUGUUGCUUGUGUGGGACAGAAAUUCAAGUGGAAAUUUUA